AGCGAUAUGUGGAGCGGUGAAAGGCUCAGUAACGGGCGAUUUAUUUGAUCUCCUGGGACGGACAACAUCGGGAAACUGAUGGGAAAACGUCUAAGUUGCAGUUUUUUGACUGUGACGUAAACCGUAGUGUGCAGGAGAGUAAGAUGCCAUCCUAUCAGUUAGUAAGUAGGGUAAGGGCCUACUUAGACGAAGACGGGUACGGGGAAUGAGGGUUUGAUUCCGGAGAGGGAGCCUGAGAGAUGGCUACCAGGACCAAGGUCAGCAGCAGGCGCGAAAAUUAUCGAAGCCCGCCUAGGGGCGAUAGUGAGGAGACGUGUUAACGAAGUACGUGUAAAGACCGUACUAAUAACUGGAGGUCAAGUCUGGUGCCAGCAUCCGCGGUAAUUCCAGCUCCAGGGGUGUCUAUGAUGAUUGCUGCGAUUAAAAAGUCCGUAGUCGAGCUGACUGACUGACCUGCAAUGUGAUUGAUUAAAGAACGAGCAGGGUUAGGAAAGCAGAGGAUUAGGAGCGACCGAGGGCUAGAGUAUUGAAUGGCGAGAGGUGAAAUUUGAUGACCCAUUCAGGAGUGACAAAGGCGAAGGCACUAGUCAAGGGCGAAUCCGAUGAUCAAGGACGUAGGCUAGAGUUUCGAAAACGAUUAGAGACCGGAGUAGUUCUAGCAGUAAACUAUGCCGACGCCGUGGUAUUAGGUAUUAGUAUUGCGGAAGAGAAAUCAAGUAAGGCUUUGGGGAGAGUACGCGCGCAAGCGAUAAAUUUAAAGGAAAUUGACGGAGGAACACCACAAGGAGUGGAGUGUGCGGCUUAAUUUGACUCAACGCGGGACAGCUUACCAGGCCCGAUAUCGAGCGAGCGUAGUACGCGAUAGGUUAAGAAGUGGUGCAUGGCUGCUAUCGACAGUUGGGGUGACCUUAGGGUUAAUUCCGGCAAGUAGUGAGACCCCUGCAGAUAGUGGACAGGUAUUUUCAAGAUACAGGAAGGAAGGGACAAGAGCAGGUCAGUGAUGCCCUUAGAUGGCCUGGGCUGCACGCGCACUACAGUGGUCAUUAUAAGUAGAAGUUAGAUAUAAAGAUGAUCGAGAGGGACUGAGCUUUGUAAGAGGCUCACGAACGAGGAAUUGCUAGUAAUCGUAGGCUCAUUAAGAUACGAUGAAUAUGUCCCUGUACCUUGUACACACCGCCCGUCGUUAUCGAAGAUGGAAUUGUGUGCGAACAAGCAUUAAGCGAGUGAGCGCAUAGUUCUAGAUGUGAUAAAAGUCGUAACAAGGCAACUGUAGGAGAACCUGUAGUUGGAUCAUACAGAUUGUUUUUUAACAGUUUUAUUUAUAAAUAUUCCUUACGCAAGGGAUCGUUUGGUUCUAUGUACGAUGAAGGUCGAAACUGUAUUCGAUAAAAUAGGAUGAAAGUAAAAAUUGUCCUAUGUUACUGAAUAGAGUAGCGAUGCUCGAGUACUCCUUUGAAUUAAGCAUAUGAGUAAAGGAAGGAGAAGAAACUAACAAGGAUUCUCUUAUUAGUGGCGAAUGAACAGAGAAGAGCCCUAAGUGUAAUCAAAUUCUUGCAAUUUGAGAUGUCAGGCAUUAGAUAGUGUGAAUAUACUGGAAAGUAUUGCCGUAGAGAGUUAUAGCCUCGUAGCACUAUAUGAUAGGGAUGAGUAGUUGUGCUCGGUAAUGCACAAUGAAAUAGGUGGUAGUGUCCAUCUAAGGCUAAAUAUGACAUAGAAACCGAUAGUGGAUAAGUAAAGUGAUCGAAAAUGGAAUAGA
rnacentral:rRNA from 1 species